GGAAACCAACGUUUCUAGGGACUUUUCGUGGUUCGUGAUUGCAUCUUGUUAUGUGCAAAAAUCAGGCAAAAAUGCUAUUCACAUCAAUAUCGUUCACUAUUUGCCGCUGUACGGAUCCCCUUUUUUUGUAAUAGGAUCACGGAAUAUUCAGCACGAUCCGUAAAUUACCGAAAUUAAUCAGCCAAAGUGCUAAUAAAUAUUCACACUACAGUGCUUCUACGUCAAGCAGUACUCAUUAAUUCAACACAGACGAUAUUCAGGAAAACCAAAAAUAAAAAGGAAAAAUGGCAGCGCCUAUAUCCCGAGGAUGCAUUCUAUUAUUUAUUCUCAUAAAUGCCGCUUGCACUGAGAGGAUCAAAGACAUGAUAUACAAGCCUUUAGAAGGUGUUGCAGCUUGUUUUCGUCGCCACAAUGGUACUAACCAAUUUGGUUGUUCAUCAAGUCGAUCAGGCAGUGUCGGCGUUAUUCAUAUAAUCGAGGAUGAGGCCGAGCUCGUGUGGUUGGAAAAAAAUGGCAAUGCUGGACCAUAUACAGCUGUUGUACCAUUUUCAAUGUUCACCAGAGAUACUUUAAUUCGGUUACGGAACACAGAAAAUAUAAAUGGAAUUCUGCUGACAUAUAAUUCUAGUAUAGAACGACCCUCACAUUACUCCCCCGAUGACACCUGUCCCAAUAGAUACGCAGGAUUCAAACAGUGCGAUACCGAGAAACCUUGGAAUCCCUGGGGAUCUGCAUUGCUCAUGGAAGACUGGCCAUUCCCAAUGUUUUAUUUAAAGAAUCAAAGUCAAUUGAAUGAUGUCAAGACUUGUUUCACUACCUUCAAUGCCCAUGAUCGUGAUAGCCAAAGCCAACGAUCACUCUGUGCCUUGGAAAUGAAAUCAUUUAUGUUCUCUGCUGUGGAUUCGGAAACUUGUAUACGACGAAGCAUUCCAAGAUUGAACUUUAAUCCACCGCUAUACUGUGACCCUCUGGGUGACAGAAAUAUAUAUUGGCCAUUAGCAGCACUGGACAAUCAAACAGAAUCUGUGAUCCUUGUAACAGCACGCUUGGAUGCUUCAACUCUAUUUGACACACUGGCACCAGGCGCUAAUAGCGCAAUCACAGGAUUAGUUACACUCAUCGCUACGGCACACUAUUUGCAUAAUAUGAAUCCAACGGUCGGAAAAACGAACGUUGUAUUUUCACUGUUCAAUGGUGAAGCGUUUGACUACAUAGGGUCUAGUCGAUUUGUGUUCGACUUAAAAAACGGCAGUUUCCAUUCAUUGGGAGAGAAAACUUUAAUGUUUGAUCAAAUUCGCACAGUUGUUGAGCUAGGCCAGCUUGGGGAAGGAGAUAUCUAUCUGCAUUCCAGCAAUUAUGAAAACGAUUCACUAAUAACUGCAUUGAUCCCCAAGUUAUCUGCAAAAGUUUUAAAAGACAGCGUACCACCUGCGUCAAUCCAAAGUUUCCUGGCUGAAAGCUCUACUAUUAGUGCAACAGUAAUUGCAAGCCAUGGGGUAAAUUUUACAAACAAGUAUUAUCACAGUAUUCUGGAUGAUGCAGAAAGUGUCAAUUUCACGAGCUCUGAAUCUGGUCUUGCUAAAAGCCUAGAUAAAAUUGCACUAGAGCUUGCUAAUCAGUUAUUUAUCAUUGUUACUGGGACAAAUACAUCUAGUAAUGGUUCUGGAAAUAUCGAGAACCUCAUUUCAAAAAUGCUUUCUUGUUACCUGGAAAGCGCUAACUGUUCUUUAUUCAAGUCAGCUUCUGCUCCUGGUCACCAAUUGCCGGAUCAAGUCCUGCCACUGUAUGUUGGCGUUAACAGAUCGCUAAAUUAUGUGACAACUUAUACUGGACAGCUGUUGGCCUUAUUGACAGGUACAACACUGGCUGAAUAUAAUUCCAGUAUGUGCUAUGAAAACCAAUCCCUUUGGAUGGCAGGGCUUAAUUUCCAAGGGACGUGCAUCAGAUCCGCAGUCAAUUACAGCUUUGCAACAAGCCCAGCUUUCCUAAUAGAUGGAUAUGAUAUGAAAUCCGGAUAUUAUUCUACAUGGACAGAAUCCGUGUGGCAGGUACUAAGCAUGAAGAUGUUUCUGAAGCCCUCUGUGGCAGCAGAACGUUUGAACGUGAUCCUUGGAAGUUUAGUUGCAAUUGCUUCGUUUAUCAUAGUCUGGUUUAUCCAGUUCCGUGCUGAUCUUCUUUUCAAUCAGAUAUCAUAUGAUGGGGUGAGAACACUUUGAAAUUUUAUGAUUUGAAAAAUGUUUACCCGUCAAUAUAACUGGACAGGGAACCAAACACAUCAUCAAUCUUCUUCAACUAUCAAUUGUUUGGUGCAGCUGGAUUAUUUUCUCAACCAUUCUCUGCUUCUGUGAGCGAGCAACCAGUAAACUAAGUGUUCAAGAAUGUACACAACUUGAAACAAAAAGAAGACUGCUGAUAAUAACUUCAUGUAACGAAAAAAAGUUAUGCACACUCGCAUAAAUGUCUACGCAGUGUUAUUGUUACAAUUAUUUGCCGUAAUAAUAGAAACGCAUGUAACACUCUCAAGACAUGGAGAUAAUGACAGACAAGUGAAAUUAAGAAAACACGUUUGGCAGUACAUAUGUGUGAUUUAUAAUAAAAUGAAUUCUGUAAAA
rnacentral:misc_RNA from 1 species